rnacentral:rRNA from 1 species
CCUACGGGAGGCAGCAGUGAGGAAUAUUGGUCAAUGGGCGCGAGCCUGAACCAGCCAAGUAGCGUGAAGGAUGACUGCCCUACGGGUUGUAAACUUCUUUUAUAAAGGAAUAAAGUGAAGCACGUGUGCAGUUUUGAAUGUACAUUAUGAAUAAGGAUCGGCUAACUCCGUGCCAGCAGCCGCGGUAAUACGGAGGAUCCGAGCGUUAUCCGGAUUUAUUGGGGUUAAAGGGAGCGUAGAGGGGUUGUUAAGUCAGUUGUGAAAGUUUGCGGCUCAACCGUAAAAUUGCAGUUGAUACUGGCAGCCUUGAGUACAGUUGAGGUAGGCGUAUUUCGUGGUGUAGCGGU